UUUUUGGCUGCAUGUGCUCGCUUCCGACAAUCCUUAUCCAUACACCUGUGCAUCUCUGAGGGUUUUCCGUCUUUACUGAUUGGAUUUCCCUCUCUUUCACAAACCCCUUAUGUAUAACAUUGAACGUGAUUGUGCCGCAAGGCCUUUAAAUAAAUACAACUUUUAACAACGGAUCUCUUGGCUCUCGCAUCGAUGAAGAACGCAGCGAAUUGCGAUAAGUAAUGUGAAUUGCAGAAUUCAGUGAAUCAUCGAAUCUUUGAACGCACCUUGCGCUCCCUGGUAUUCCGGGGAGCACGCCUGUUCGAGUGUCGUGAAACUCUCAAGCUGGAUUGCUUUAUUGCUAAUCUCAGUUUGGAUUUGGGCCUUGCCGUGUUAUGAUGGCUGGCCUUAAAAGCAUUAGCUGAAUCUUGGUGUGAGAUUGGUUCUACUCAGCGUGAUAAUUAUCUGACCGCUGAGGACAUCUUUCGGGAUGGCCAUACUUGUCCUCGAAUCGCUUCUAAUCUGGUUAACGGGAAACCGUUCCAUUUUUCAACUUUGACCUCGAAUCAGGCGGGACUACCCGCUGAACUUAAGCAUAUCAAUAAGCGGAGGAAAAGAAACUAACAAGGAUUCCCCUAGUAACGGCGAGUGAAGCGGGAUGAGCUCAAAUUUAAAAUCUGGCAGUCUUCGAUUGUCCGAGUAGUAAUCUAGAGAA
rnacentral:rRNA from 1 species